rnacentral:rRNA from 1 species
UACAGAGGGGGCAAGCGUUAUUCGGAAUUAUUGGGCGUAAAGGGCGCGUAGGCGGCCUGACAAGUGGAAGGUGAAAUCCCUCGGCUUAACCGAGGAACUGCCUUCCAAACUGUUUGGCUUGAGUCCGGGAGAGGUGAGUGGAAUUCCCAGUGUAGCGGUGAAAUGCGUAGAUAUUGGGAGGAACACCAGUGGCGAAGGCGGCUCGCUGGACCGGAACUGACGCUGAGGCGCGAAAGCGUGGGGAGCAAACAGG